rnacentral:misc_RNA from 1 species
GAUGAAGAACGCAGUGAAAUGCGAUAAGUAAUGUGAAUUGCAGAAUUCAGUGAAUCAUCGAAUCUUUGAACGCACCUUGCGCCCUUUGGCUAUUCCGAAGGGCAUGCCUGUUUGAGUAUCGUGAACGCCUCAACUCUCAUGGUUUGCCAUGAUGAGCUUGGACUUUGGGGGUUUUGCUGGCCUUUGGUCGGCUCCUCUCAAACGGAUCAGCUUUCCAGUGUUUGGUGGCGUCACGGGUGUGAUAACUAUCUACGCCUGUGGUUUUCUGCCAGAUAACCUUCAGCGAUGGAGGUUCGCUGGGGCUCAUAAAUGUCUCUCUUCAGUGGAGACAGCUUUUUGGACGUUUGAUCUCAAAUCAGGUAGGACUACCCGCUGAACUUAAGCAUAUCAAUAAGCGGAGGA